CCUACGGGUGGCAGCAGUAGGGAAUCUUCCACAAUGGGCGAAAGCCUGAUGGAGCAACGCCGCGUGGGUGAAGAAGGUCUUCGGAUCGUAAAACCCUGUUGUUAGAGAAGAAAGUGCGUGAGAGUAACUGUUCACGUUUCGACGGUAUCUAACCAGAAAGCCACGGCUAACUACGUGCCAGCAGCCGCGGUAAUACGUAGGUGGCAAGCGUUAUCCGGAUUUAUUGGGCGUAAAGGGAACGCAGGCGGUCUUUUAAGUCUGAUGUGAAAGCCUUCGGCUUAACCGGAGUAGUGCAUUGGAAACUGGGAGACAUGAGUGCAGAAGAGGAGAGUGGAACUCCAUGUGUAGCGGUGAAAUGCGUAGAUAUAUGGAAGAACACCAAUGGCGAAGGCAGGUCUCUGGGCCGUUACUGACGCUGAGGAGCGAAAGCGUGGGGAGCGAACAGGAUUAGAUACCCUUGUAGUC
rnacentral:rRNA from 1 species